GGAAGUAAAAGUCGUAACAAGGUCUCCGUUGGUGAACCAGCGGAGGGAUCAUU
rnacentral:rRNA from 21 species